GCAAGUCGAACGGAACUUUUGUUUUCGGUUCGAAGAUUAGCGGCGAAAGGGUGAGUAACGCGUGAGCAACCUGCCUUGAAGUUCGGGAUAGCCCAUGGAAACGUGGAUUAAUACCGGAUGUGGCCUGACGGCCUUGGUCGUCAAAGCUAAAAUUUUUUUGCUUCGAGAUGGGCUCGCGUUCCAUUAGCUAGUUGGUGAGGUAACGGCUCACCAAGGCUAUGACGGAUAGGUGGUCUGAGAGGACGGUC
rnacentral:rRNA from 1 species